rnacentral:rRNA from 1 species
UACGAAGGGGGCUAGCGUUGCUCGGAAUCACUGGGCGUAAAGCGCACGUAGGCGGAUUGCUAAGUCAGGGGUGAAAUCCUGGAGCUCAACUCCAGAACUGCCUUUGAUACUGGUGAUCUAGAGUCCGGAAGAGGAGAGUGGAAUUCCUGGUGUAGCGGUGAAAUGCGCAGAUAUCAGGAAGAACACCGGUGGCGAAGGCGGCUCUCUGGGCCUUACCUGACGCUGAGGAGCGAAAGCGUGGGUAGCGAACAGG